rnacentral:rRNA from 1 species
GAUGAACGCUGGCGGCGUGCCUAACACAUGCAAGGCGAGCGAUCCUCUUCGGAGAAGAGCGGCGGACGGGUGAGUAACGCGUGGGUAACUUGCCCUGUACACACGGAUAACAUACCGAAAGGUAUGCUAAUACGAGAUAAUAUACUUUUAUCGCAUGGUAGAAGUAUCAAAGCUUUUGCGGUACAGGAUGGACCCGCGUCUGAUUAGCUAGUUGGUAAGGUAACGGCUUACCAAGGCUACGAUCAGUAGCCGACCUGAGAGGGUGAUCGGCCACAUUGGAACUGAGACACGGUCCAAACUCCUACGGGAGGCAGCAGUGGGGAAUAUUGCACAAUGGGCGAAAGCCUGAUGCAGCAACGCCGCGUGAGCGAUGAAGGCCUUCGGGUCGUAAAGCUCUGUCCUCAAGGAAGAUAAUGACGGUACUUGAGGAGGAAGCCCCGGCUAACUACGUGCCAGCCGCCGCCGUAA